CAAAUACUCCCUCCGUCCGGAAAUACUUGUCAUAAAAAUGGAUAAAAGGAAAUGUAUCUAGACGUAUUUUAGUUUUAGAUACAUCUCUUUUUAUCCAUUUUGAUGACAAGUAUUUUCGG
rnacentral:pre_miRNA from 1 species